AGUCGGAGGCAGGGGUGUGCGGCAAAUUUGCCGAAUUUGCCGUUUGUCGAGCUCGGCAAAUUUUGAGAUUUUCCGCACACCCCUGAUCGGAGCC
ensembl:miRNA mir-4805 ncRNA